AGAUGUGUAUAAGAGACAGGGGUAGAGCACUGUUUCGGCUAGGGGGUCAUCCCGACUUACCAAACCGAUGCAAACUCCGAAUACCCAGAAGUGCCGAGCAUGGGAGACACACGGCGGGUGCUAACGUCCGUCGUGAAAAGGGAAACAACCCAGACCGCCAGCUAAGGUCCCAAAGUUGUGGUUAAGUGGUAAACGAUGUGGGAAGGCUUAGACAGCUAGGAGGUUGGCUUAGAAGCAGCCAUCCUUUAAAGAAAGCGUAAUAGCUCACUAGUCGAGUCGGCCUGCGCGGAAGAUGUAACGGGGCUCAAACCACACACCGAAGCUGCGGGUGUCACGUAAGUGACGCGGUAGAGGAGCGUUCUGUAAGCCUGUGAAGGUGAGUUGAGAAGCUUGCUGGAGGUAUCAGAAGUGCGAAUGCUGACAUGAGUAACGACAAUGGGUGUGAAAAACACCCACGCCGAAAGACCAAGGGUUCCUGCGCAACGUUAAUCGACGCAGGGUUAGUCGGUUCCUAAGGCGAGGCUGAAAAGCGUAGUCGAUGGGAAACAGGUUAAUAUUCCUGUACUUCUGGUUACUGCGAUGGAGGGACGGAGAAGGCUAGGCCAGCUUGGCGUUGGUUGUCCAAGUUUAAGGUGGUAGGCUGAAAUCUUAGGUAAAUCCGGGGUUUCAAGGCCGAGAGCUGAUGACGAGUCGUCUUUUAGAUGACGAAGUGGUUGAUGCCAUGCUUCCAAGAAAAGCUUCUAAGCUUCAGGUAACCAGGAACCGUACCCCAAACCGACACAGGUGGUCGGGUAGAGAAUACCAAGGCGCUUGAGAGAACUCGGGUGAAGGAACUAGGCAAAAUGGCACCGUAACUUCGGGAGAAGGUGCGCCGGCUAGGGUGAAGGAUUUACUCCGUAAGCUCUGGCUGGUCGAAGAUACCAGGCCGCUGCGACUGUUUAUUAAAAACACAGCACUCUGCAAACACGAAAGUGGACGUAUAGGGUGUGACGCCUGCCCGGUGCCGGAAGGUUAAUUGAUGGGGUUAGCGCAAGCGAAGCUCUUGAUCGAAGCCCCGGUAAACGGCGGCCGUAACUAUAACGGUCCUAAGGUAGCGAAAUUCCUUGUCGGGUAAGUUCCGACCUGCACGAAUGGCGUAACGAUGGCGGCGCUGUCUCCACCCGAGACUCAGUGAAAUUGAAAUCGCUGUGAAGAUGCAGUGUAUCCGCGGCUAGACGGAAAGACCCCGUGAACCUUUACUGUAGCUUUGCACUGGACUUUGAGCCUGCUUGUGUAGGAUAGGUGGGAGGCUUUGAAGCGUGGACGCCAGUUCGCGUGGAGCCAUCCUUGAAAUACCACCCUGGCAUGCUUGAGGUUCUAACUCUGGUCCGUGAUCCGGAUCGAGGACAGUGUAUGGUGGGCAGUUUGACUGGGGCGGUCUCCUCCUAAAGAGUAACGGAGGAGUACGAAGGUGCGCUCAGACCGGUCGGAAAUCGGUCGCAGAGUAUAAAGGCAAAAGCGCGCUUGACUGCGAGACAGACACGUCGAGCAGGUACGAAAGUAGGUCUUAGUGAUCCGGUGGUUCUGUAUGGAAGGGCCAUCGCUCAACGGAUAAAAGGUACUCCGGGGAUAACAGGCUGAUACCGCCCAAGAGUUCAUAUCGACGGCGGUGUUUGGCACCUCGAUGUCGGCUCAUCACAUCCUGGGGCUGAAGCCGGUCCCAAGGGUAUGGCUGUUCGCCAUUUAAAGUGGUACGCGAGCUGGGUUUAGAACGUCGUGAGACAGUUCGGUCCCUAUCUGCCGUGGACGUUUGAGAUUUGAGAGGGGCUGCUCCUAGUACGAGAGGACCGGAGUGGACGAACCUCUGGUGUUCCGGUUGUCACGCCAGUGGCAUUGCCGGGUAGCUAUGUUCGGAAAAGAUAACCGCUGAAAGCAUCUAAGCGGGAAACUUGCCUCAAGAUGAGAUCUCACUGGGAACUUGAUUCCCCUGAAGGGCCGUCGAAGACUACGACGUUGAUAGGCUGGGUGUGUAAGCGUUGUGAGGCGUUGAGCUAACCAGUACUAAUUGCCCGUGAGGCUUGACCAU
rnacentral:rRNA from 1 species